CCGCACCUGGCUGUGUUGGCUGUUUUUAAAUUCUGACCAUCUGAGGCAGAGUGAGGUGUAUAGGCUGGAAACUGUACUUUGACCUCCUAAAACUGAGAUCUCUGGUUUUCUUCCAUAUCCCAUAUUACUUUCCUUGUCACUGGGGUCACAGAUGUGUUGUCCAAUAGAGGGGAAAGAGCAGAGGGUGCCCUAUGAUCAGAACAAUGGCUACUUAAGAAGGUGAUGCAAAUGUUUAAAUAUACAGACCAAGAAGCUGAUGGAUGGAAGGUCUCUUACCGAGUACUGCUUUCCUGUCGCCUGGCUGUCUGAAAAGGGGACACCUGUCCUUGAAACUCCAACCAUUGCCAACGCUAAUAUCUCAAGAAUCUGUGGUGGAUUUUAAACGCGUCAGCUCUGCCUGUGAAAUUCUGCGCACACAAUCAAGGACAGAUGGGGUUGAGAGCUGAAUUGCAAGUGAAAGCUGGAAUGUCCUUAUUCCCAUUCUGAAGCACCAGGGCUCUGGGAGGUGCAUGUCUCCUUCAAAGCUUCCAAUACCUUGCCAGUCUUAUGUGAUGCUCAGAGAGGCGAGAAUGACUCCUCCUCAUCAUUACCAACAACAACCAUCAAUAGUUAUUGAUCACCUCUCCUGGGCCAGAUGCUUGGUGAUGGGUGGAAUACCAAGACGGGUAGGAUAAAACCCCUGCCCUUAAAGUUUAGGCUCUAGAGACAGAUAACCAUAAUCCAGGGCAAUAUCUCCCACGUGUCAUAGAACUUGAUAUCUCUGCUUCUGGAUCUGGCCAGUCUACUUCUUAAGCAUCUCCUGCAUAGCUCCAAGAUGAAACAAAGGGAAGGAGGCAGAAGUUCUGGCCAGUCGAUGUAACUGUGGCUGCAUUUUCCAUGCAAAGCAGGUUUGAGUCAAACUAGGCAGUUAAUCCAUCCUGACAAUCGGGGAAAGUGGCCAGGCUGACA
rnacentral:lncRNA from 1 species